UUACAACUUAUGGUCAUGUUCCAUUUUGGAGGGUCAUGAGUCUGGGGUCUUCGUCCCACCUCUUUUAUAUCCCAUGGGAAGGGUAAGGAGCGAGGUUGUGUUCUGGCCAAGGCCAGGCUUUCCUUUGGCUUUUAGUGUUUCUUAUUCCUCUCCCAUUCCCCUUGCCCCUCCCAAC